AGAGUUUGAUCCUGGCUCAGGAUGAACGCUGGCGGCGUGCCUAAUACAUGCAAGUCGAGCGAACCACUUCGGUGGUGAGCGGCGAACGGGUGAGUAACACGUAGGUGAUCUGCCCAUCAGACGGGGACAACGAUUGGAAACGAUCGCUAAUACCGGAUAGGACGAAAGUUUAAAGGUGCUUCUGGCACCGCUGAUGGAUGAGCCUGCGGCGCAUUAGCUAGUUGGUAGGGUAAAGGCCUACCAAGGCGACGAUGCGUAGCCGACCUGAGAGGGUGAACGGCCACACUGGGACUGAGACACGGCCCAGACUCCUACGGGAGGCAGCAGUAGGGAAUCUUCGGCAAUGGGGGCAACCCUGACCGAGCAACGCCGCGUGAGUGAAGAAGGUUUUCGGAUCGUAAAGCUCUGUUGUAAGUCAAGAACGAGUGUGAGAGUGGAAAGUUCACACUGUGACGGUAGCUUACCAGAAAGGGACGGCUAACUACGUGCCAGCAGCCGCGGUAAUACGUAGGUCCCGAGCGUUGUCCGGAUUUAUUGGGCGUAAAGCGAGCGCAGGCGGUUUGAUAAGUCUGAAGUUAAAGGCUGUGGCUCAACCAUAGUUCGCUUUGGAAACUGUCAAACUUGAGUGCAGAAGGGGAGAGUGGAAUUCCAUGUGUAGCGGUGAAAUGCGUAGAUAUAUGGAGGAACACCGGUGGCGAAAGCGGCUCUCUGGUCUGUAACUGACGCUGAGGCUCGAAAGCGUGGGGAGCGAACAGGAUUAGAUACCCUGGUAGUCCACGCCGUAAACGAUGAGUGCUAGGUGUUGGAUCCUUUCCGGGAUUCAGUGCCGCAGCUAACGCAUUAAGCACUCCGCCUGGGGAGUACGACCGCAAGGUUGAAACUCAAAGGAAUUGACGGGGGCCCGCAC
rnacentral:rRNA from 1 species